rnacentral:rRNA from 1 species
AACGAACGCUGGCGGCAUGCCUAACACAUGCAAGUCGAACGAACCCUUCGGGGUUAGUGGCGCACGGGUGCGUAACGCGUGGGAACCUACCAUCAGGUUCGGAAUAACAGUUAGAAAUGACUGCUAAUACCGGAUAAUGUCUUCGGACCAAAGAUUUAUCGCCUUUUGAUGGGCCCGCGUAAGAUUAGGUAGUUGGUGGGGUAAAAGCCUACCAAGCCGACGAUCUUUAGCUGGUCUGAGAGGAUGAUCAGCCACACUGGGACUGAGACACGGCCCAGACUCCUACGGGAGACAGCAGUGGGGAAUAUUGGACAAUGGGCGAAAGCCUGAUCCAGCAAUGCCGCGUGACUGAUGAAGGCCUUAGGGUUGUAAAGCUCUUUUACCAGGGAUGAUAAUGACAGUACCUGGAGAAUAAGCUCCGGCUAACUCCGUG